AUGGCAGAGCAAGAGCAAAGAAAAAAAUUCCCUUUGAUUCCAGAAUAUCUCCUGAAAAAGAUGAAGACUUUUCAAGCCCUCAAAGCCAUCCAGGCAAAGUAGGCACUUCUGGUAAAGAAUGAGCAGAGGAAAGGAAGAAGGCUCAGGUUUAAGCGACUGGAAUUCGUCCUACAUGAUUCCUAGCAGCAGAAAUGUGGCAGGGUGCAUCUCCUAUGACUAGAAGUGAAGCCUCAUGCCUUAGAAUUGCCAGAUAAACUUUUCUUGGCCUCUGUUGUAUACAUCCAAAGGAUUAAUGGGGUGAGUUCACUGGUGCAGAGGAACACUGCAAGAGUUCUGAAGAUUUUCUGUGGUGUCUGUCAAAGUCAUCCCCCAGAGCCUAAAAGUGGAAACUUAUGUGACCUGGGGAUUUCCAAAUCUGAAGUCUGUCCAGGAACUCAUUUUGAAACGUGUGCAAGCCAAGGUUAAGAAUAAGACCAUCCCUCCAUCAGACAACACAGUGACUAAGGAGCACCUGGGGAGGUUUGGUGUCAUUUGCUUGGAAGACCUCCGUCAUGAAAUGGCCUUCCCUGGGAAGAAUUUCCAAGAGAUCUCAUGGUUCUUGUGCCCCUUCUACCUCUCAAUGGCCCAUCAUGCUACCAAUAAUAGAAUGGACUUCUUCAAGGAUAUGGGCUCACCUGGCUAUCAGGGUGAACACAUCAAUCAGCUCAUCCUCCAACUGAAAUAG
rnacentral:lncRNA from 1 species